AAGUUAGCAAGAUGUAGAAUUAGUGCAAUACUUAAUUAUUUUCCUUUCCUUUCUUUUUCUUUCUUUGUAAUUUACAUUUAUUCUUUUAAUUUACUUAUGCAAUGUUUAUAUAUUUUACUUUCUUGCUUUAUGUUCUUCAUUUAUUUUUGCUCUUUAAUUUCUAAGUGCAAUAAGAGCUCCGCCCCUGCUAGCCUCAGCCACCGCCACUGCUAACCACCACCACCGCAUGCAGCAAGGGACAAUGGCAUGCAUGCAACGAGCCGACCUAGCUAGGUUAGGGUGGAGCCUGUAGAGUUUCCAAGAGACAUAAAUUAGCAUGCAUAUGAAGAAAUAGGUUAGGUCGACAAGCAAAGCAAGCCUAUGGUACGUGCACUUUCAAGAGAAGAUUUGUGUGGAGCCUUAGCUUGUCCUAAACACUUGAGGGAUUGAGUGAAAAUCGUGAAGGCUACAAUGCUCUAAUGAUUUUGAACUGUGUGAUAAAGUAUUAUGUGUUUGCUCAUACUCUUGAGUUGAAUUCUUAGUCGAUGUAGUUGAUUCAGCGGGUCUGUUCUGUUUAGUAAAUAAUUUUUAUCAGUAAUGCUAUCCUCUUAUUUAUUUUCCUUUUAUGAUAGUAUAACAAUUGGCCAAAGGGAUACCAAUGCUUUUGUUUCUUACACAAAGGCACAAAAGCACCUCCCAAUGCUUUUAUGCCUUUCUGUUAGAAACAAAAGCAUGGGUCCCCCUUUGGCCAAUUGGUAUGUAUACUAUCAUAAAAGGAAAAGAAAUAAGACUGAUAAAAAUUAUAACAAGUGAUUUUUGUAUAAAUAUGUAUGUUGGAUUAGGAUGUGGAGUUUGAUGGUCAUUCUCAUUCAAGUGGUAAGCUAUGGCGUAAUUAACUUGAGUUUCUAGGACAUAA